rnacentral:rRNA from 1 species
GACGAACGCUGGCGGCGUGCUUAACACAUGCAAGUCGAACGGAAAGGCCCAGCUUGCUGGGUGCUCGAGUGGCGAACGGGUGAGUAACACGUGGGUGAACUGCCCCUCACUUCGGGAUAAGCUUGGUAAACUGGGCCUAAUACCGGAUAGGACACUCGUUUAGUGUCGGUUGUGGACAGUGUUUUCGGUUAGGGAUGAGCCCGCGGCCUAUCAGCUUGUUGGUGGGGUAAUGGCCUACCAAGGCGUCGACGGGUAGCCGGCCUGAGAGGGUGGACGGCCACAUUGGGACUGAGAUACGGCCCAGACUCCUACGGGAGGCAGCAGUGGGGAAUAUUGCACAAUGGGCGCAAGCCUGAUGCAGCGACGCCGCGUGGGGGAUGACGGCCUUCGGGUUGUAAACCUCUUUCGACAGGGACGAAGCUUUGGUGACGGUACCUGUAUAAGAAGCACCGGCUAACUACGUG